rnacentral:rRNA from 1 species
UGGGGAAUUGUUCGCAAUGGGCGAAAGCCUGACGACGCAACGCCGCGUGGAGGAUGAAGACCUUCGGGUCGUAAACUCCUUUCGAUCGAGACGAAUUACCUUUGGGAUAACACCCUGGAGGAAUGACGGUACCGAGAGAAGAAGCCCCGGCUAACUCCGUGCCAGCAGCCGCGGUAAUACGGGGGGGGCAAGCGUUGUUCGGAAUUACUGGGCGUAAAGGGCUCGUAGGCGGCCAACUAAGUCAGACGUGAAAUCCCUCGGCUUAACCGGGGAACUGCAUCUGAUACUGGAUGGCUCGAGUUUGGGAGAGGGAUGCGGAAUUCCAGGUGUAGCGGUGAAAUGCGUAGAUAUCUGGAGGAACACCGGUGGCGAAGGCGGCAUCCUGGACCAACACUGACGCUGAGGAGCGAAAGCCAGGGGAGCAAACGG